AUGAACGCUGGCGGCGUGCCUAAUACAUGCAAGUCGAGCAAACAGACGAGGAGCUUGCUCCUCUGACGUUAGCGGCGGACGGGUGAGUAACACGUGGAUAACCUACCUAUAAGACUGGGAUAACUUCGGGAAACCGGAGCUAAUACCGGAUAAUAUAUUGAACCGCAUGGUUCAAUAGUGAAAGACGGUUUUGCUGUCACUUAUAGAUGGAUCCGCGCCGCAUUAGCUAGUUGGUAAGGUAACGGCUUACCAAGGCAACGAUGCGUAGCCGACCUGAGAGGUGGACCGGCACACUGGAACUGGGGCACGGGCCAGACUCCUACCGGAAGGCACCGUUAGGAAUCUUUCGGCAAGGGGCGAAGGCCUAACGGGCAAACCCGGGUUAAGUAUGAAAGUCCUCCGGUCCGUAAACUCUGUUAUUAGGGAAGAACAAAUGUGUAAGUAACUAUGCACGUCUUGACGGUACCUAAUCAGAAAGCCACGGCUAACUACGUG
rnacentral:rRNA from 1 species